rnacentral:sRNA from 1 species
GCAUAUGAGUCACAGACAGAAUAUUGGCACCUUUUUUUUAAGAAACUGAAUGUUAAUGUCACAUCUGCCUUUGGAGAUUACAAAUGAAAUGGCUACCUUUCUACUGGAACUCUGACCAGAAGCCUGCCAAUUAGUAAGCUGGCUUAAGAGAUCAAUCUAAAAUUUACAUAAGGCUUUUGAAAAAAAGAAAAAAGAACGCAAAGGCACGGAUUGACGUUAUGAGUCCUGAUUUUUGAGUUGACUUCUCAUCACCUGGAAGUGAAUAAAACAGUAGACUUCUCUAACAUUUUGCAACACAGCAUGAAAAAAUAUAAAGUAAAAAAGAUUUAUAUAUAUAAAAUAUGAUAAA